rnacentral:rRNA from 1 species
AACGAACGCUGGCGGCAUGCCUAACACAUGCAAGUCGAACGAGACCUUCGGGUCUAGUGGCGCACGGGUGCGUAACGCGUGGGAAUCUACCCUCAGGUCCGGAUAAACUCAAAGAAAUUGGACUGAUAACCGGGGGUUAAUGAAGGCCAAAAGAUUAACCCCCUGGGGGUGGGCCGGGGUGGGAUUAGGUGUUUGGUGAGGUAAAGGCUAACCAACCCGACGAGCCUUAGCUGGGCGGAGAGGCUGACAGGCCACACUGGGACUGGGACACGGCCCAGACUCCUACGGGAGGCAGCAGUGGGGAAUAUUGGACAAUGGGCGAAAGCCUGAUCCAGCAAUGCCGCGUGAGUGAUGAAGGCCUUAGGGUUGUAAAGCUCUUUUACCCGGGAUGAUAAUGACAGUACCGGGAGAAUAAGCUCCGGCUAACUCCGUG